UACGAAGGGUGCAAACGUUGCUCGGAAUUAUUGGGCGUAAAGCGCACGUAGGCGGCUUGGCAAGUCGGAUGUGAAAGCCCUGGGCUUAACCCAGGAAGUGCAUACGAAACUGGCGAGCUUGAAUAUGGAAGAGGGUCGCGGAAUUCCCGGUGUAGAGGUGAAAUGCGUUGAUAUCGAUAGGAACUCCGGUGGCGAAGGCGGCAUACUGGACCACCUCUGACGCUGAGGCGCGAAAGCCAGGGGAGCAAACGGG
rnacentral:rRNA from 1 species